rnacentral:rRNA from 1 species
ACACGACUACAUUAGAUACCCCCGUAGUCCAGGGUGUAAACGCUGCGGGCUUGGUGUUGGGGUCCUUUGAGGGCGCCCAGUGCCGGAGAGAAGUUGUUAAGCCUGCUGCUCGGGGAGUACGUCCGCAAGGAUGAAACUUAAAGGAAUUGGCGGGGGAGCACCGCAACGGGAGGAGCGUGCGGUUCAAUUGGAUUCAACGCCGGACAACUCACCAGGAGCGACGGUUACAUGAAGGCCAGGCUGAUGACCUUGCCUGAUUUUCCG